GAUGAACGCUGGCGGCGUGCCUAACACAUGCAAGUCGAGCGGGGGAGCAGGAAGCGGAAACGCGGACGGCUCUUCAGCGGCGGACGGGUGAGUAACACGUGAGCAAUCUGCCUUCUGCAGGGGAAUAACAUUGUGAAAACAGUGCUAAUACCGCAUGACAUGGGCCUGGGGCAUCCCGGGGCCAUCAAAGGAGGAAUCCGGCAGGAGAUGAGCUCGCGUCCGAUUAGCUUGUUGGCGGGGCAACGGCCCACCAGGGCGACGAUCGGUAGCCGAACUGAGAGGUUGACCGGCCACAUUGGGACUGAGACACGGCCCAGACUCCUACGGGAGGCAGCAGUGGGGAAUAUUGGGCAAUGGGGGAAACCCUGACCCAGCAACGCCGCGUGAAGGACGAAGGCCUUCGGGUUGUAAACUUCUUUGAUCAGGGACGAAAGAAAUGACGGUACCUGGAGAACAAGCCACGGCUAACUACGUGCCAGCCGCCGCCGUAAGAC
rnacentral:rRNA from 1 species